rnacentral:lncRNA from 1 species
UUUCCACUCAACAAGCCCAGUGUUGGGGACUACUUCCACAUGGCCUACAACGUCAUCACGCCCUUUCUCUUGCUCAAGCUCAUCGAGCGGUCCCCCCGCACCCUGCCACGCUCCAUCACGUACGUGAGCAUCAUCAUCUUCAUCAUGGGUGCCAGCAUCCACCUGGUGGGUGACUCUGUCAACCACCGCCUGCUCUUCAGUGGCUACCAGCACCACCUGUCUGUCCGUGAGAACCCCAUCAUCAAGAAUCUCAAGCCGGAGACGCUGGUGAGGCCACCUCCUGCUCCCUGCCUGUAAGCCCUAGGAGCACAGUCUGUCCUGGGAGGCUGAAGAAAUGGCCCCCACCCCUCGCCGCACCUGUCCUUUCACCAAAGGCAUUCUGCUAGAUCGACUCCUUUGAGCUGCUCUACUAUUAUGAUGAGUACCUGGGUCACUGCAUGUGGUACAUCCCCUUCUUCCUCAUCCUCUUCAUGUACUUCAGCGGCUGCUUUACUGCCUCUAAAGCUGAGAGCUUGAUUCCAGGGCCUGCCCUGCUCCUGGUGGCACCCAGUGGCCUGUACUACUGGUGAGUGGACA